UACGUAGGUGGCAAGCGUUGUCCGGAAUUAUUGGGCGUAAAGCGCGCGCAGGCGGUCCUUUAAGUCUGAUGUGAAAGCCCACGGCUCAACCGUGGAGGGUCAUUGGAAACUGGGGGACUUGAGUACAGAAGAGAAGAGUGGAAUUCCACGUGUAGCGGUGAAAUCCGUAGAGAUGUGGAGGAACACCAGUGGCGAAGGCGACUCUUUGGUCUGUAACUGACGCUGAGGCGCGAAAGCGUGGGGAGCAAACAGG
rnacentral:rRNA from 1 species